AGGGCCCUGACUCACUCAGCUCUGGCUUUGUUUAACGCUGUUUCCGUUUGGUUUGGUGUGGAGUUUUCAUUUUGUUUUGUCUUGUUUCGAGAUGGAGACUCCCACGUAGCUGAGGAGGAUCUUGAACUCCUGACCCUCUGUUCUCUACUUCCCAAGCAUAAGGAUCACAGAAGGUCCAUCAGCACCAGGUGUCUAGCUUUGCUGUGGGAAUCACAGGGUUGGGGAGCCUGGCGCUCCAGCAUCCUGAGAGACCCAUUCUCCUCUAGAUGGCUCCUGGUGUCUCCCUGCCCCAUAUCUGCCGUCCAACUUCAGGAAGAAGCUCAAGAAGGCAUUGGAGGGAAGGAGCCAGAGGCCUUCUUCCUGCAGGGAUGAGGGUCUUCUCUUGCUGUUACACCUAUCCAGAGGAGGCACAGACUGCACGCUGGAUAGUUUUACGUCCACUCGACACAAGAUAGAGUGAUCUGAGAGGAGAGAACCGCAACUGGGAAAAUGCCUCCAUAA